UCUCCAGCGAGCACAUGGACCCUCUGGCAAAAUUUUAGAAAUAAAAAAACAAAGGUGGGAAAUAGAGAUUCACAAAGAGGAGGUGGCUUGCCAGAACCGACAGCAAGAUUGGGAGACAUGGGAUUCGAAGCCCCCUUUGUCCAGUCCCCCCGCUGCAUUUGGAAGUCUGGCUCCAGGCAACGGCAGCAGGGCGUUAGAAAACAGGCUUAGUCUGUCCGCCACGGCCACUCUGCUCCCUGUCAGAACGCCGCUGUCCCUGAGCACACGGAGCACACGGAGAAUCCUUGCCCGUCCUGUGCUGUGUCCCUUUGUGAGAGUGGUUGUCAGUUAACAGAACAAUUAUUUCAUAGAAGCUGCACCAGAGACAAUGGAAGAUAAGGAACUACCAGCCCCAUAUACGACCAAUCUGGGCCGUGCACCGGAAGCUGCUUUAAACUUCUGUGCCAGCUUACAGCCCCGUACGUACCAGGCG